AAUAAGAAUAAAACAUUUGCUUCCAAAGACUCUAAAAUAUGAAACAGUGGGCUUUUUAUCGGUGAGGAGUUCAUAUGAUGUCUUCUUGAGGAUUCGGUGAAGGUAGAGUUGGUUGAGGGAGUAGCAAGCAGUGUUGAUUGCUUCCGCCCAAAACCGGUCCGGUGUCUUGAACUCAUCAAGCAUGGUUCUUGCCAUGUCCAGUAGAGUUCUAUUCUUCCUCUCCACUACAUCAUUUUGUUGAGGUGUGUAGGGAGAAGAGAACUCAUGCUUGAUCCCCUCAUCCUCAAGAAAUCCUUCUAUUUGAGAGUUCUUGAACUCCGUCCCAUUAUCGCUUCUUAUCUUUUUUAUCCUUAAUCCAAACUUAUUUUGAGCUCGUCUCAAGAAUCCUUUUAGGAUAUCUUGGGUCUGAGAUUUUCCUACAAGAAUAACACCCAAGUGAAGAGAGAAUAAUCAUCCAUAAUAACUAGACAGUACUUACUCCCGCCGAUGGUUAUGUAAGCGAUCAGGCCGAAUAGAUCCAUGUGGAGUAGCUCGAGCGGCCUGUCAGUAGUCAUGAUGUUCUUGUGUGGAUGGUGGACUCCAACUUGCUUCCCUGCUUGACAUGCGCUACAAAUCCUGUCUUUCUCAAAAUGAACAUUUGUUAGUCCUAAAAUUUGUUCUCCCUUUAGAAUCUUGUGAAGAUUCUUCAUUCCAACAUGGGCUAGUCGGCGAUGCCAGAGCCAACCCAUAUUAGUAUUAGCAAUUAAGCAAGUGUUAAGUUCAGCUUUGUUCUCAUUAAAAUCAACUAAAUAUAGCUGACCCUCUAACACUCCCUUAAAUGCUAUUGAAUCAUCACUUCUUACAAAGACAGUAACACCUAUAUCAGUGAAUAGACAGUUGUAGCCCAUUUUGCAUAAUUGAGAAAUAGAAAGCAAAUUGUAGUCUAAAGAAUCUACAAGAAAAACAUUGGAAAUAGAAUGGUUAGGUGAUAUAGCAAUUUUACCUAAGCCUUUGACCAAACCUUGAUUUUCAUCCCCGAAUGUGAUAGCUCGUUGGGGAUCUUCAUUUUUCUCAUAGGAGGAGAACAUUCUUUUCUCC
rnacentral:lncRNA from 1 species